rnacentral:rRNA from 1 species
UUAGGAAAUUUUCACAAUGGGGGAAACCCUGAUGGAGUAACGCCGCGUGGAGGAUGACGGCUUUCGGGUUGUAAACUCCUUUUCUGUGGGAAGAGUAGAAGACGGUACCGCAGGAAGAAGCCUCGGCUAACUACGUGCCAGCAGCCGCGGUAAUACGUAGGAGGCGAGCGUUGUCCGGAAUUACUGGGCGUAAAGAGCGCGUAGGCGGCACAGUACGACCGAUGUGAAAGCCCCCGGCUCAACUGGGGAGGGUCAACGGUAACGGCUGAGCUGUGAGUGCAGGAGAGGGAAGUGGAACUCCGGGAGUAGCGGUGAAAUGCGUAGAGACCCGGAGGAACACCAGUGGCGAAGGCGGCUUCCUGGUCUGCAACUGACGCUGAGGCGCGAAAGCUAGGGGAGCAAACGGGAUUAGAUACCCCCGUAGUCC